GGAUGAACGCUAGCUACAGGCUUAACACAUGCAAGUCGAGGGUCAGCAUGGUCUUAGCUUGCUAAGGCCGAUGGCGACCGGCGCACGGGUGAGUAACACGUAUCCAACCUGCCGUCUACUCUUGGACAGCCUUCUGAAAGGAAGAUUAAUACAAGAUGGCAUCAUGAGUCCGCAUGUUCACAUGAUUAAAGGUAUUCCGGUAGACGAUGGGGAUGCGUUCCAUUAGAUAGUAGGCGGGGUAACGGCCCACCUAGUCUUCGAUGGAUAGGGGUUCUGAGAGGAAGGUCCCCCACAUUGGAACUGAGACACGGUCCAAACUCCUACGGGAGGCAGCAGUGAGGAAUAUUGGUCAAUGGGCGAGAGCCUGAACCAGCCAAGUAGCGUGAAGGAUGACUGCCCUAUGGGUUGUAAACUUCUUUUAUAAAGGAAUAAAGUCGGGUAUGGAUACCCGUUUGCAUGUACUUUAUGAAUAAGGAUCGGCUAACUCCGUGCCAGCAGCCGCGGUAAUACGGAGGAUCCGAGCGUUAUCCGGAUUUAUUGGGUUUAAAGGGAGCGUAGAUGGAUGUUUAAGUCAGUUGUGAAAGUUUGCGGCUCAACCGUAAAAUUGCAGUUGAUACUGGAUAUCUUGAGUGCAGUUGAGGCAGGCGGAAUUCGUGGUGUAGCGGUGAAAUGCUUAGAUAUCACGAAGAACUCCGAUUGCGAAGGCAGCCUGCUAAGCUGCAACUGACAUUGAGGCUCGAAAGUGUGGGUAUCAAACAGGAUUAGAUACCCUGGUAGUCCACACGGUAAACGAUGAAUACUCGCUGUUUGCGAUAUACUGCAAGCGGCCAAGCGAAAGCGUUAAGUAUUCCACCUGGGGAGUACGCCGGCAACGGUGAAACUCAAAGGAAUUGACGGGGGCCCGCACAAGCGGAGGAACAUGUGGUUUAAUUCGAUGAUACGCGAGGAACCUUACCCGGGCUUAAAUUGCAGAUGAAUUACGGUGAAAGCCGUAAGCCGCAAGGCAUCUGUGAAGGUGCUGCAUGGUUGUCGUCAGCUCGUGCCGUGAGGUGUCGGCUUAAGUGCCAUAACGAGCGCAACCCUUGUUGUCAGUUACUAACAGGUUCCGCUGAGGACUCUGACAAGACUGCCAUCGUAAGAUGUGAGGAAGGUGGGGAUGACGUCAAAUCAGCACGGCCCUUACGUCCGGGGCUACACACGUGUUACAAUGGGGGGUACAGAGGGCCGCUACCACGCGAGUGGAUGCCAAUCCCCAAAACCUCUCUCAGUUCGGACUGGAGUCUGCAACCCGACUCCACGAAGCUGGGUUCGCUAGUAAUCGCGCAUCAGCCACGGCGUGGUGAAUACGUUCCCGGGCCUUGUACACACCGCCCGUCAAGCCAUGGGAGCCGGGGGUACAAGAAGUGCGUAACCGCGAGGAG
rnacentral:rRNA from 1 species